AUGAACGCUGGCGGCGUGCCUAAUACAUGCAAGUCGAGCGCACAGAUGAGGAGCUUGCUCCUCUGACGUUAGCGGCGGACGGGUGAGUAACACGUGGAUAACCUACCUAUAAGACUGGGAUAACUUCGGGAAACCGGAGCUAAUACCGGAUAAUAUAUUGAACCGCAUGGUUCAAUAGUGAAAGACGGUUUUGCUGUCACUUAUAGAUGGAUCCGCGCCGCAUUAGCUAGUUGGUAAGGUAACGGCUUACCAAGGCAACGAUGCGUAGCCGACCUGAGAGGGUGAUCGGCCACACUGGAAUUGAGACACGGUCCAGACUCCUACGGGAGGCAGCAGUAGGGAAUCUUCCGCAAUGGGCGAAAGCCUGACGGAGCAACGCCGCGUGAGUGAUGAAGGUCUUCGGAUCGUAAAACUCUGUUAUUAGGGAAGAACAAAUGUGUAAGUAACUAUGCACGUCUUGACGGUACCUAAUCAGAAAGCCACGGCUAACUACGUG
rnacentral:rRNA from 1 species